GCCGGAAGGACAUUUUUGAAUUUCUGAAAGGGGUUGUAGCUUGGCCUUUCAUGAGGCAUGUGCACGCUCUGCUCAUCCAUUCUACACUUGUGCACACUCUGUGGGUCGGUUUGAAUUGAUUCUUUCAGGAGAAUUGUUUGGCCUUCCUAUGUUUUAUUAUACAUACUCCAAGUUAAAGAAUGUAAUCUGCGUUUUAACGCAUCUUAUACAACUUUCAGCAACGGAUCUCUUGGCUCUCGCAUCGAUGAAGAACGCAGCGAAAUGCGAUAAGUAAUGUGAAUUGCAGAAUUCAGUGAAUCAUCGAAUCUUUGAACGCACCUUGCACUCCUUGGUAUUCCGAGGAGUAUGCCUGUUUGAGUGUCAUGGAAUUCUCAACUCUCUUACCUUUGUUGGUAGGCAGAGCUUGGACUUGGAGGUUUUUGCUGGCUCUUAUUGAAUCAGCUCCUCUUGAAUGUAUUAGCUUGAAUCCUUGUGGAACGGCUCUUCGGUGUGAUAAUUGUCUAUGCCGUUGGCUGUGAAGCUUUAUGCACCCUUGGGUGUGAGGAUUGGCUUCUAAUAGUCUUUAAAUGGACAAUCUUUGACUUCUGGCCUCAAAUCAGGUAGGAUUACCCGCUGAACUUAAGCAUAUCAAUAAGCGGAGGAAAAGAAACUAACAAGGAUUCCCCUAGUAACUGCGAGUGAAGCGGGAAAAGCUCAAAUUUAAAAUCUGGUGGUCUCUCUGGCCAUCCGAGUUGUAGUUUGGAGAAGUGCUUUUCCGUGUUGGACCCGUGUACAAGUCUCUUGGAACAGAGCGUCAUAGAGGGUGAGAAUCCCGUCUUUGACACGGACUACCAAUGCUUUGUGAUGUGCUCUCAAAGAGUCGAGUUGUUUGGGAAUGCAGCUCAAAUGGGUGGUAAAUUCCAUCUAAGCUAAAUAUUGGCGAGAGACCGAUAGCGACAGUACUG
rnacentral:rRNA from 1 species